UGGGGGAUAUUGCACAAUGGGCGAAAGCCUGAUGCAGCGACGCCGCGUGGGGGAUGAAGGCUUUCGGGUUGUAAACCUCUUUCGCUAUCGAACAAGGCCCGCUUAGGGUGGGUUGAGGGUAGGUGGAGAAGAAGCGCCGGCUAACUACGUGCCAGCAGCCGCGGUAAUACGUAGGGCGCGAGCGUUGUCCGGAAUUAUUGGGCGUAAAGGGCUUGUAGGCGGCUUGUUGCGCCUGCUGUGAAAACGCGGGGCUUAACUUCGCGUGUGCAGUGGGUACGGGCAGGCUUGAGUGUGGUAGGGGUGACUGGAAUUCCCGGUGUAGCGUUGGAAUGCGCAGAUAUCUGGAGGAACACCGAUGGCGAAGGCAGGUCACUGGGCCAUUACUGACGCUGCGGAGCGAAAGCAUGGGUAGCGAACAGG
rnacentral:rRNA from 1 species